CAGCCAGGAAGGAGGAGGCAGCCAGAGUGGCCACCACUGCUUUCUGCAGCAGAAGACCCCCUGCUGCCUGUUUUGUUGCAGAUGUCUUUUAUCGUGAGCCAUGAAAAGAAACAAGCCUCCAUUUACAACUGAAUUUCCCUGUGUCCUCUUCACUGCAACAAUUUAAGAUAUCAAGGGUGCUUGCUACAGAGUAUGAGUGAUGGCAGGAUUCUUGGUCUGACUCCGUGGUUGAUGAGACUCACGUGACUGAAGGUCAACGCUGCAGAGGGAUAGACUCCAUUACGGGCCGGCUUUCUGAUCUCACUGUUCUGAAUUACAGAAGAAAGUCUGGCAGGAUUCCAAGUAUCAGGGCUGAAGGCUUGGGAAACAAGCAGAGACCAAAUCAGGGGGAAAAAGAGGAGAAGGUAGGAGACAACCUUGCUCCUCACUAGUCUUCCUUGUAACAGGGAUUCCCAGGUAUUGUUGACUAUAACUCCCAUUAUCCACAACUGCAGUGACCUUUGGCUGGGGAUGCUGGGAGUUGUAGUCAGCAGCACCUGCAAAUCCAUGUUACAGAGAACACUGCUCCCCACGUGCCCACAUUAUUUAGGAGGGCUGACUAGGAUCAAUAGUGUAGUGGAUAAGGAGUGCCUUCAGUCCCCCAGGGCGGAGUUAUAAUUGAGCACAUGGGUUCCUGUCUCUGGGGCUGCCUCAUUUACCCCUGAACAAAGCAGUGGGAGCACUGAAGACUCCAGGAAUGCUGGCUGCAGCAGUACCGCAUGGAACAUGCUGUCAUGGGGUGAGGGAGUCAUGUUGCUGGGGUGGACUUGCCGCAGCAGGGGAGGGAGUUGCUGUCACAGAGUGGGGUAGUUGCCAUCACUGCCGGUGGGGGGUCGAUGCCACCACACUGCCACCAAAAGGGAGAGGAUGCAGCCUCUGUGAACAUGGGCCGCUUAUACCCUCCCUCCCUGUUGGUCCCACUACUUAAACUAAACUUUCAUAGAGAAAUGGCCCACAGGACCCCUGUGCUCAUGCUUUGUUUUUGCAAUUACAUAUUUUCAAAUCAUGCAGGAAAAUGCUGUUUUAGGAAGCUGAGGCCCAACUCUCAGUUCCUCUGCAGAAGCUCUCUGUCAAUUUUCUGCUGUGUAUGCCUUCUAAUUAAAUUCAAAGCUCCCAUUAAUUUAGUGCCACCAGCUGUCCAACGAUCACAUCAAUACUUCCCAAACUUCCCAGCAAAAACUAAGAAUAAUUUAGCACAGCAUAUUGAUUCUUAAGAGCUAUGCCUUGUCAGCUGCUAUGAAAACAAAUGGAGUUCACUUGAGGGCAUAUCCUCAUUGUAACUGGAAUUGAGUUUGUUUUGUUUUGCAAUUCUUUCCUGCUAUUGAAAGGUUUGAAAUCUAAUUUGGCCUUAGGUAUUCAGUGGUGUGCAAAUCAAACUACCUUCCUUCUAAAGCAAAGAGGAAUGUUGUUAUGCAUGACAAGCAGUCGUUCCUCAAUAUACACAUGGCAAGUUCAUGAUUUCAGGAGGACAUGAAUGCCUUCAGCUCAUUCAGUCAAUAAAAGGCCACCUGCCUUCAUGUCUCAUAAAACUGGCACAGAAGAGCAUAUAGAGAGGGAUGUCCUCAAUGGCUUUCAUGCCAUUUUGGAAUUCCCUCCUCUUGGAGAAUUGCCAGAUUCUGAGUGCCUGAGGGUGUUCUACCUACACGUUACCUUCAUUGGUUAUAGAAACCUGGAUAUGGCCAAAUUAAAUAAUGCCCGUUGCAUACACUGUUGCUCAAGUAAAGUGAUCAUGAAAUUGCAUUCCUUCUCCUUGCCUUUGUAAUACAAGUGCAUUUACAUUAAUACAAAGAUUUAUCUUUAUUUCAAAUAAUUGUCCAGACAAUAAUUUGGUUUGGAUCUGGGAUAUAAUGCAUGUUUUGGAUAAAAAUACAUGUUUGCCCUAAUGCAUGAAUUUGGAAAUAAAACUGAAGGCUGAUAUGCAAUUCUGGCAUCAGAUUUGAUUAUGGCAGAUUUCACAUGGGACAUAACACCUCUUUCCUGAUUGGCCCAGUUCAUCUCAGUAUUUUCAUGCUGAAAUUCAUGCUCAGUAUUUUCAUGCUGGCUCAAAGAGUUGGGUGCCAAAGCCACAAUUAGUAUUUGAGCUGCAACAUAAAAACAAAAACAAAACCCCU